rnacentral:rRNA from 1 species
GCUUUCCCUCCAGAGUGGAUCCUGAGUACGGCGGAACACGUGAAAUUCCGUCGGAAUCCGGGAGGACCAUCUCCCAAGGCUAAAUACUCCCUAGUGACCGAUAGUGAACCAGUACCGUGAGGGAAAGGUGAAAAGCACCCCGGAAGGGGAGUGAAACAGUUCCUGAAACCGUGUGCCUACAAGUAGUUAGAGCCCGUUAAUGGGUGAUAGCGUGCCUUUUGUAGAAUGAACCGGCGAGUUACGAUUUGUUGCAAGGUUAAGCGGAAAAAGCGGAGCCGUAGCGAAAGCGAGUCUGAAUAGGGCGCAUAAGUAACAGGUCGUAGACCCGAAACCAGGUGAUCUACCCAUGUCCAGGAUGAAGGUAAGGUAAUACUUACUGGAGGUCCGAACCCACGCACGUUGAAAAGUGCGGGGAUGAGGUGUGGGUAGCGGAGAAAUUCCAAUCGAACUUGGAGAUAGCUGGUUCUCUCCGAAAUAGCUUUAGGGCUAGCCUCGAGGUAAAGAGUCAUGGAGGUAGAGCACUGUUUGGACUAGGGGCCCUUCUCGGGUUACCGAAUUCAGAUAAACUCCGAAUGCCAUGUACUUAUACUCGGGAGUCAGACUGCGAGUGAUAAGAUCCGUAGUCGAAAGGGAAACAGCCCAGACCACCAGUUAAGGUCCCCAAAUAUAUGUUAAGUGGAAAAGGAUGUGGGGUUGCUUAGACAACCAGGAUGUUGGCUUAGAAGCAGCCACCAUUGAAAGAGUGCGUAAUAGCUCACUGGUCGAGUGACCCCGCGCCGAAAAUGUACCGGGGCUAAACAUAUUACCGAAACUGUGGAUGAACCUCUUUAGAGGUUCGUGGUAGGAGAGCGUUCUAAGGGCGGUGAAGUCAGACCGGAAGGACUGGUGGAGCGC